UAAAUGAAGAACCAUCAACUCUUAGUGGUCCAAACUGUGCUGAGUGUAAAGUUGUCAGUAGGAGGAAUAACAGAGGGCUGUGAAUGAGCCCUGUCACUGUGAUCAGGCUCCUCCUUCUAAUCCACCAACUUAGUGUUGAUGAAGACUAAACAGAGAGCUCACAGCCUUCUUUAUACUUGCUGUAGCUCACAGUGACUCAACACUGCAGAUAUGACGCCUCUGUUCAUCUCAGUGCUGCUGGCUGCUAUGUGCCUUGAAUGCAGAGCACAAAAAGACAACGUGCUGCAGCCAACAGGAGAUGUGACUGUUACUGAAGGAGAGGCUGGAACUCUUGACUGUCAAUAUAACAGCAGUUCAACAAAUCCAUAUCUCUACUGGUACAAACAGGAUGGAGACCACAGCCCCAAAUUCAUCCUUCAACGCAUUAAACUGGGUGGUGGGAACACAGCAGACGAGUUCAAGGAGAGAUUUUCAGCUACUCUGAAUUCUGCCUUAAGAUCAGUUCCUCUGAAGAUCCAGAAGCUUCAGCUGUCUGACUCUGCUGUGUACUACUGUGCUCUGCAGCCCACAGUGACAGGAAACACCACAACUCUGUACAAAAACCUUUGGAGCAAAGACAACACAAUACUCCACAACAUCCACUAGAGGGAGUCACACACUGUUAAACUCCAAUGCUUUCUUCUGAUCCAGUCUAGAUUCUUUCCCUCAUCAGACACAGUUGUGAUAAAGAGCUUUAGAAAUGAAAUUCAUUUGAUAUAUGAGUCUCCUCCUACUGACUGCAGAGGUGGCUGCUUGGCAGAGAACUGUUUGAUUCCAGCUGUGAACAUCAGACCAAACACAACUCACAAAACCACUCACAACUUCUUCAUCCUGAACGUCCAGUUUCAACAGUUCUCCUCUG